AACGAACGCUGGCGGCAGGCUUAACACAUGCAAGUCGAACGGUUGUAGCAAUACAGCAGUGGCGCACGGGUGAGUAACGCGUGGAUAUCUGCCUUUUGGUUCGGAAUAACUCCGGGAAACUGGAGCUAAUACCGGAUGGUUCCUACGGGAUAAAGAUUUAUCGCCAAAAGAUGAGUCCGCGUACGAUUAGCUAGUUGGUGGGGUAAUGGCCCACCAAGGCGACGAUCGUUAGCUGGUCUGAGAGGACGAUCAGCCACACUGGGACUGAGACACGGCCCAGACUCCUACGGGAGGCAGCAGUAGGGAAUAUUGGACAAUGGGGGCAACCCUGAUCCAGCCAUGCCGCGUGAGUGAUGAAGGCCUUCGGGUUGUAAAGCUCUUUUGGCGGGGACGAUGAUGACGGUACCCGAAGAAUAAGCCCCGGCUAACUUCGUGCCAGCCGCCGCGGUAA
rnacentral:rRNA from 1 species